rnacentral:rRNA from 1 species
CCUCUUCCACCACGACCCCUACCACUUCUGCUACUUCUUGGGCGCCUCGCGCCACGAGUUCUGGAGGCACUACCGGACGUGCCUGCAGAAGCGCCGGAAGCCGUUGGAGUAGAGGAGCCGCAGGCGCCUGCGCAAGCUGUUCGACGACGACGUCGACGACGAGUUCCGCAGCGUCCUGUUCGCCAAGCACACGCUCCUCCGGCUCUUCCGCUACGCGCGGUACCGGUGGAGGUACGGCGGGGACGGCAACGACUUCUUCGAAUUUAGGAUGCAGGUGGUGCGGUUGGAGGCCCAGGCGCGGUUCCGGCGGCAGCGGUACCGCGUGACGCGGCGGUCCUACCUGCACCUCUGCUACUUCCUGAAGCCCGACGGCCGCGACGACGUCCACCGGCGGCUCGACGACUUGCUGGCCGACGGCCUCCGAGCGCUCCGGCGGGCGUCGUAGCAGCCGAGGUGCGUGCGGCGGAAGAAGAAGUUCCUCCGGCGGCUCUUCCUCGUCCUCGUCCUCUUCUACCUCUUACUCGAGGUCCUCGUCCUCCUCCACUUCCUCUUACUCCUUCUUUACUUCUUCUUCCUGCUCGACAGACGGCACCGCCGACGCACCCUCUCGGACACGCGCGACUCGGACAGCGGGUAGAGCCGCGUCCGGCAGCGGUUCUAGCAGAGCGUCGGCGUCGGCGUCGGCGUCGGCGUUAUUAAUUAAAGAGCAGCGCUAAGACAGGCGCUAAAACAUCACUACGUACGAUAGAGCGUACUAGACGGGUACAAGAUCGUCCGAGUUUAAUAACCACAAGGGUCAAGGGGACUAUUAUUUAAUAAAUAAUGUACCAAGGGUCAGUGGCCUCAUCGGUAAAGGGCCUUGUUUUUUAUACACAGCGAGUCCUUUAAGUCGUCGAAAAGUGACGGAGCGGCCUCUUUUGAAACUGGGCAUCCAUCCGCCGCAUCGAAGGUAGCUUUUGCUGCUCCUCCCUAUUCUCGUCGAGGCGCACGCAGGUUAGAAACUCGGUCGAGGCUAGGUUUGCGCAGCGGCAGGCCACUUGCUCGCUCACUAGGUGCGCUCUCACUGGUCGACCACGAACGAACGAAGGCCCUUAGCUUUAGGAGGAGUAGUAGAAGAGGAGAGGGGGUAUAGAGGACAGAGGGAGGCGUAAGUGCGUCGUCGCCGCCGCCGCCGCCGCUGCGUACAGGGACGAACGCAACACGCAGCGCAGGAACAAGUAAGAACUAAGAACUACCUGCCCCCCGUCUCGCAGCGGUUCGCCGUACCGCGCCGGCGCCGGCGGCCGCGGCUCCUCCUGGGACUGGCCGUGGCACGAGGAAGUGGCCGGGUGCUCCGCCGCCUACUAGUGCUGCUGCCGCUGUUCUUCCGCGGAGCGUCCCCGUCGUUGUCCGCGCAGCGGAGGGAGCUGCAGAAGGCACCGGAGUGGCAGCGUGACUACUAUGACCACCUGCCGCGGCCGCCGCUCACCGGCCAGUAGCCCGUGCGCGGCACCGUGCCGACGUUGGAGCGGCUGAAGCAGUACGGGAAGAAGGAGAAGUAGCAGCCGUACCGGUAGGGGGAGAGGGAGUUCUCUUAAGGCCUAGCGCCAGCCCGGCAGUCCUCUCACCAGUAUUCUUGUGACUUCGACGAGAAGACCCCCUAGAACGACGUUCCACCAAUGAGGGUACGAGGCCUACUUGAUUGGAUACCUCAACUGUACUUCGUGUAUUCUACCACACCAUAGGAGGUCUCCUAACGGGAACGUAUGAACCAACAGCGUCAGUAUCUCUAACGCUGCUUUCUGCGCUCCCAAGUCCUGGUCAGUUCAAGUCCGAAGAAGAGUUAAAAGUCCGACAUAGACAGGGUUACCUAACAGCGUACAACGUAAAACGACUAGAUGAACAGGGAACAAAUGCCCUAAAUGCAAGGCCUGACCCUCAAGUGCCACGCUUUACAGCUGUCAGGUUUGAUGCCGUUUCAAAACUGUCACUGUACACCGUGUUCCCCUUUAGACUCGGGAGGAACGUUACGACAUCCAAUGUAACUGGCAUUUUAAGAGCCGUAGUUAGUGGACAUGGUCUUUGGACGUACCUCCUCCGUGUCCCUGACAUGACUACUAAGAGGUGUACUCCCCGGAAAGUUUUCCCUGCGGGGCCGUACCACGCGGAGAGGUAAACUUGGACUUCCCAAUGAUUCGAGUAAAAGUCGCCACAAUUCAUGCUAGUAGCCGCAUGUGAUGCCCGUGGACGAACAAGUAUACUUCUCAGUAUACCUGUCCGAUUUCGUCACCCAGUGGUACCCGCAUCGAGAGGAGGAGGAGCCUUAGUAAGACGUGAAGAGAGUACGCUAAGGAGACUUGUUUGUCGACAUGUGUGAGUCAAUGUAGACGCACUGGCGGCCACGGCGACCGUAGCAGAAGAGGUACGAAAUGAAGGAACUUCUGCAGCACGCGGACGCGAUACAGAAACGCGGCGACGCCACCCAGCCGUACUUGCGCUACGACCACAUGCACUACCGUCGCCGCCCGUAGAAGCUCCCGAAGGAGUUGCCGACCAUGAUGCUGCCCUGGUUGUUGUGUGACCAAAUGACCCACUCCUUCGUGCACAAGCAGGUCCACACCGUGAGCCUCUCCCACCGGUAGGAGGAGAUGCAGGAGCAGCGCGUCUAGGACGAGACCCGCGAGGAGCGGCCGGAGGAGGUGGCCCGGCCGCAGAUGACCUUCGAGAUCGGUGGGUCCUCCCGUAACCACAGUAGUAAACGAACACACAACCUUAACACGUCUUACACACAUUCUUCUCUUCUUUUCUUUCCACCUUUUCGUAAAGUUGUACUAGGGUUCGUCUUCGUACUGAUUCGAAGUUUUUCGAUGUUCCCUACGUGGACUACUCUAGAUACCACGUCACCACUUCGUCUUAAUCAUAUCGGAUACCCUGAUACCCCCUUCUUAAGUAUGUAUUCAUGUUAGAGACAUUUGUUUGUUUUCUGUAAAAUCUCUGAACAUAGUUCAGACAGAGAUUUUGUAGGGUAUUAACAAAUGUCUCCCUCAUCAAUUAUUAGACCUUACAGUAUAAACAAUUGAAUACUUAUCGUGUAACAAUCGAAUACUAAUCGUGCAGGUAAUCGAAUACUAGUAGGUGUCAGACUAGGUUGAAAGGUCUUUAUAUUUGAACAUAGGUCAGACUACGCACAUCAUUCGGUAGAAACUAAAAGACUUUGACAAGUGCUCCGUCUCCUGACAAUCCGUCACAAGGUUCGUUUAGGUUACGGUCGACUCAGUAGAAGGCAACGAUCGUUCGAUGUUUAGUAGUCGAUCUUAGUGCGAUAGUACGAAAAAUAGGUAUAAAAACACUACAUUUGUAGAUAUGCGUUCGUAAAUACGACACUACAAUGUUAGUACACUACUAUG